UACGGAGGGUGCGAGCGUUGUCCGGAAUCACUGGGCGUAAAGGGCGCGUAGGCGGUCUGUUAAGCGUGUGGUGAAAGCUCGGGGCUCAACCCCGAGUCUGCCAUGCGAAUGGUGGACUUGAGCACUGUAGAGGCAGGUGGAAUUCCGGGUGUAGCGGUGGAAUGCGUAGAGAUCCGGAAGAACACCGGUGGCGAAGGCGGCCUGCUGGGCAGUUGCUGACGCUGAGGCGCGGCAGCGUGGGGAGCAAACAGG
rnacentral:rRNA from 1 species